rnacentral:rRNA from 1 species
AUUGAACGCUGGCGGCAUGCCUUACACAUGCAAGUCGAACGGCAGCACGGGAGCAAUCCUGGUGGCGAGUGGCGAACGGGUGAGUAAUACAUCGGAACGUGCCCAGUAGUGGGGAUAGCCCGGCGAAAGCCGGAUUAAUACCGCAUACGACCUACGGGUGAAAGCGGGGGAUCGCAAGACCUCGCGCUAUCGGAGCGGCCGAUGUCAGAUUAGGUUGUUGGUGGGGUAAAGGCCUACCAAGCCGACGAUCUGUAGCUGGUCUGAGAGGACGACCAGCCACACUGGGACUGAGACACGGCCCAGACUCCUACGGGAGGCAGCAGUGGGGAAUUUUGGACAAUGGGGGCAACCCUGAUCCAGCCAUGCCGCGUGCGGGAAGAAGGCC